rnacentral:rRNA from 1 species
UACGUAGGGGGCAAGCGUUGUCCGGAAUCAUUGGGCGUAAAGAGCGCGUAGGCGGCCCAGUCAGUCCGCUCUGAAAGUCAGGGGCUCAACCCCUGAAUGCGGGUGGAUACUGCUGGGCUAGAGUCCGGAAGAGGCGAGUGGAAUUCCUGGUGUAGCGGUGGAAUGCGCAGAUAUCAGGAGGAACACCAACGGCGAAGGCAGCUCGCUGGGACGGUACUGACACUGAGGCGCGAAAGCUAGGGGAGCAAACAGG